UACGUAGGGUGCAAGCGUUGUCCGGAAUUAUUGGGCGUAAAGAGCUUGUAGGCGGUUUGUCGCGUCUGCUGUGAAAUCCCGGGGCUUAACCCCGGGCGUGCAGUGGAUACGGGCCGGCUGGAGGCAGGCAGGGGAGAAUGGAAUUCCCGGUGUAGCGGUGAAAUGCGCAGAUAUCGGGAGGAACACCGGUGGCGAAGGCGGUUCUCUGGGCCUGUACUGACGCUGAGGAGCGAAAGCGUGGGGAGCGAACAGG
rnacentral:rRNA from 1 species